rnacentral:rRNA from 1 species
ACAUGCAAGUCGAGCGAACGGACGAGAAGCUUGCUUUUCUGAUGUUAGCGGCGGACGGGUGAGUAACACGUGGGUAACCUACCUAUAAGACUGGGAUAACUUCGGGAAACCGGAGCUAAUACCGGAUAAUAUUUUGAACCGCAUGGUUCAAAAGUGAAAGACGGUCUUGCUGUCACUUAUAGAUGGAUCCGCGCUGCAUUAGCUAGUUGGUAAGGUAACGGCUUACCAAGGCAACGAUGCAUAGCCGACCUGAGAGGGUGAUCGGCCACACUGGAACUGAGACACGGUCCAGACUCCUACGGGAGGCAGCAGUAGGGAAUCUUCCGCAAUGGGCGAAAGCCUGACGGAGCAACGCCGCGUGAGUGAUGAAGGUCUUCGGAUCGUAAAACUCUGUUAUUAGGGAAGAACAUAUGUGUAAGUAACUGUGCACAUCUUGACGGUACCUAAUCAGAAAGCCACGGCUAACUACGUGCCAGCAGCCGCGGUAAUACGUAGGUGGCAAGCGUUAUCCGGAAUUAUUGGGCGUAAAGCGCGCGUAGGCGGUUUUUUAAGUCUGAUGUGAAAGCCCACGGCUCAACCGUGGAGGGUCAUUGGAAACUGGAAAACUUGAGUGCAGAAGAGGAAAGUGGAAUUCCAUGUGUAGCGGUGAAAUGCGCAGAGAUAUGGAGGAACACCAGUGGCGAAGGCGACUUUCUGGUCUGUAACUGACGCUGAUGUGCGA